AUACGUAGGGGGCGAGCGUUGUCCGGAAUGAUUGGGCGUAAAGGGCGCGUAGGCGGCUUUGCAAGUCAGUAGUGGAAGUCCAUUUUUCAAGGAUGGAAGUGCUACAGAAACUGCGGAGCUUGAGUGCAGGAGAGGUUAUCGGAAUUCCCGGUGUAGCGGUGAAGUGCGUAGAGAUCGGGAGGAACACCAGUGGCGAAGGCGGGUAACUGGACUGCAACUGACGCUGAGGCGCGAAAGUGUGGGGAGCAAACAGGAUUAGAUACCCUGGUAGUCCACACUGUAAACGAUGAAUGCUAGGUGUAGGAGGUAUCGACCCCUUCUGUGCCGCAGUAAACACAGUAAGCAUUCCGCCUGGGGAGUACGGUCGCAAGAUUAAAACUCAAAGGAAUUGACGGGG
rnacentral:rRNA from 1 species